ensembl:lncRNA
AGACAGUGGAAGUGCUACUGCAAGCAUUUUUUUCUCAUAAAACAACGGCCUUACAAGCCUCUCUGCAGCCUGGGCCAUUUUGAAGGCACUUAUUUCGCAGUGUCACCGAUAUUGUGGAGAAGAUGGUGGGGACCUGCUUAAACCAAGGAGCCUACUAAAUAUCCAGAGUGGAAUCUGCUGGGAUGGAAAUGAGUGAAUGGAGCUGGAGGGCACGUGAGACUGGGCAUCAGUCCAGCUGUUCAGUGUGUGGCCAGGGACUGGCAAACCCAGUCUCUUUGAACUGUGGACACAGAGCGUGCCAACAGUGUGUCAGCUUCCAUUGGGACCAGCCUGGUCCACCAGGGGAUCCUGGAUGCCCCCGGUGUGGAAAGAGAUCCAGAACACACCCUGAACCGAAUCUACAUCUGCAAAAUCUUGAAGACCAGCAUGAAAAGAAACAUGGAGCAGCUUCAGUCCCUAACUCCAUUAGUGCCCGGGAUGGAGGCACCGUCAUUGCACCAUUUAUCUAUAACUCCACAGUGAGGGACAUCGUCAUCACUUUGCCAAAAACAGAAGCACCACAAAGCAGUUCCACUCAAAAAU